rnacentral:rRNA from 1 species
AGAGUUUGAUCAUGGCUCAGAUUGAACGCUGGCGGUAGGCUUAACACAUGCAAGUCGAGCGGAAACGAAGAAUAGCUUGCUAUUCUGGCGUCGAGCGGCGGACGGGUGAGUAAUGCUUGGGAAUCUACCUAGUCGAGGGGGACAACAGUUGGAAACGACUGCUAAUACCGCAUACGACCUACGGGUGAAAGGGGGCCUCUUCUUGAAAGCUCUCGCGAUUAGAUGAGCCCAAGUGGGAUUAGCUUGUUGGUGAGGUAAAGGCUCACCAAGGCGACGAUCCCUAGCUGGUCUGAGAGGAUGAUCAGCCACACUGGAACUGAGACACGGUCCAGACUCCUACGGGAGGCAGCAGUGGGGAAUAUUGCACAAUGGGGGAAACCCUGAUGCAGCCAUGCCGCGUGUGUGAAGAAGGCCUUCGGGUUGUAAAGCACUUUCAGUUGUGAGGAAAAGUGAGUAGUUAAUACCUGCUAACCGUGACGUUAACAACAGAAGAAGCACCGGCUAACUCCGUGCCAGCAGCCGCGGUAAUACGGAGGGUGCGAGCGUUAAUCGGAAUUACUGGGCGUAAAGCGCACGCAGGCGGUUUGUUAAGCUAGAUGUGAAAGCCCCGGGCUCAACCUGGGACGGUCAUUUAGAACUGGCAGACUAGAGUCUUGGAGAGGGGAGUGGAAUUCCAGGUGUAGCGGUGAAAUGCGUAGAUAUCUGGAGGAACAUCAGUGGCGAAGGCGACUCCCUGGCCAAAGACUGACGCUCAUGUGCGAAAGUGUGGGUAGCGAACAGGAUUAGAUACCCUGGUAGUCCACACCGUAAACGCUGUCUACUAGCUGUUUGUGGCUUUAAGCCGUGAGUAGCGAAGCUAACGCGAUAAGUAGACCGCCUGGGGAGUACGGCCGCAAGGUUAAAAC